GGGUGCUUGAGGCUGUCUGCCUCGGGCAUGCCACCGUAAGGCAGACAGAGAAAAGCCCCAGUUAACAUUACGCGUCCUGCAAGACGCCUAACAUUAAUCUGAGGCCAAUUUCAUGCUAGACACAUGUAGGUUAGCCUCUUACGCGCCGAAAGGCAAGGAGAAGCAGGCUAUGAAG
rfam:Escherichia coli O157:H7 str. EC4115, complete genome.